GCAUGUGUUUUGAUGUCAUAGGCGUUGGGAGGCCCGUCCCCCUGGGCCUGUCAUAGUACCCCAUGCCAGAGCAAACUGUGUCUGUCCCCAAACUACUGCCCGGCCUCUGUGCCUGUAGGCUGCUGGCGCUGAAGUGGGUUGCACAGCG
ensembl:snoRNA